rnacentral:tRNA from 1 species
GUGGUGGCUCAGCGGUAGAGCACUCACCUAGCACAUGUGAGGCCCUGGGUUCAAUCCUCAGCACCACA